AUCCAACUGAUGUCUCUCAAAUAGGACGAUACGAGCGUCCUGGAU
rfam:Schistosoma haematobium scaffold724_5, whole genome shotgun sequence.